rnacentral:rRNA from 1 species
UACGGGGGGGGCAAGCGUUGUUCGGAAUUACUGGGCGUAAAGGGCCAGUAGGCGGCCAACUAAGUCGGAUGUGAAAUCCCCAGGCUUAACCUGGGGAACUGCAUCCGAUACUGGAUGGCUUGAAUUCGGGAGAGGGAUGCAGAAUUCCAGGUGUAGCGGUGAAAUGCGUAGAUAUCUGGAGGAAUACCGGUGGCGAAGGCGGCAUCCUGGACCGACAUUGACGCUGAACGGCGAAAGCUAGGGGAGCAAACGGG